GAACCCGGGUUUCUAGACCCGAAAGCAUCGAGUCCCAAAGACAUCGUUCGAUUAUCAAAUGAAAACUCGCUGAAACUGAAACGUAAAACUGGAGCUGCCAGAAAAAACUGGAACACUGUAGCUGCCGGAAAAAGCACUUUAGCUAUCGGAAAAAAUUCAAAGUUUUCGGAAUUGAAAAAUAAAAAUAUGGAUAGGCUCGGAAUUUGAGGGGGGUCAGACUGUCCUGAAGGAAGUUUUUGAAAUUCUGGCCGGAAAAGUCACUGUAGUCA
rnacentral:lncRNA from 1 species